AGUGAACGCUGGCGGUAGGCCUAACACAUGCAAGUCGAACGGCAGCACAGUAAGAGCUUGCUCUUACGGGUGGCGAGUGGCGGACGGGUGAGGAAUACAUCGGAAUCUACUUUUUCGUGGGGGAUAACGUAGGGAAACUUACGCUAAUACCGCAUACGACCUACGGGUGAAAGCAGGGGAUCUUCGGACCUUGCGCGAUUGAAUGAGCCGAUGUCGGAUUAGCUAGUUGGCGGGGUAAAGGCCCACCAAGGCGACGAUCCGUAGCUGGUCUGAGAGGAUGAUCAGCCACACUGGAACUGAGACACGGUCCAGACUCCUACGGGAGGCAGCAGUGGGGAAUAUUGGAAAAUGGGCGCAAGCCUGAUCCAGCCAUACCGCGUGGGUGAAGAAGGCCUUCGGGUUGUAAAGCCCUUUUGUUGGGAAAGAAAAGCAGCAGGUUAAUACCCCGCUGUUCUGACGGUACCCAAAGAAUAAGCACCGGCAAACUUCGU
rnacentral:rRNA from 1 species